CACUCCUGACGUAGUCCUUUAGGUUUCACAUAACUUUCCCGGUAGAGGGUUUGAAGCCGAAAGCACUCGUUUGCGCCAUUUUCUUUACAUCCUUUGCUUGGUGCUAUAUCGGCGGGUCACUGACGAGUGAGCAGACAUGCAGGUCCCAGAGCUGCUCUUAGAAAAACUGCAAGACCUGACUAAUGAUGACUAUAAAACAUUUAAGUGGUACCUCACCAUGAAGAUCGUGGACAGCUGCAAACCAUUUCCCAGGAGCAAACUCGAGGGCCAAGACCGUAUGGACACUGUGAGUUGUAUGAUAGACAGCUACGGUGAAACGAUGGCUGUGAAAGUCUCGGUUGCGAUCCUGAGGAAAAUGAAUGUCAACAACAUCGCAGACGACUUACAGGGCAAGUUUGAAGCCGUAGAGGGCAGAACAGCUGGAUCCUCUGGAUCCUCUACUUUAAAUCCUACCGCUGGAGCCACGAUGUCGGCUCACCAGGGAGGAAUGGUUAUCGCCCCCACGUUCACCGGUAGCAGCACCGGACCUGUGAAUAUAACCAUCCACCAAAAAUAAUCUCAAUGGCGAUUAGAGCGGAGGGCACAAUAUACGUAGUUUGUAAUUAUUUCUUUCCUUUACAUGAAAUGAAAUUAAUGUUAACUGGUGAUUCUGAACAGGGCCGAGGUAUGAGCUGUGUCGGCCCUGUGAUGGAUGGGAUCUUUUCACACAGUCCAUCUGGUGGAUGUUUCCAUGUAGCUUACACAGUGCAAUCACAUGUUCCUUUUAACACAGGAAUGCCCGGCAUAUGUAACGUCUUUUAAUGAUGCCAGUAAUUAUUGCAGCUACAUAUAAUGCCAUGUAAAGAAUAUACUCUGGAAUAUACUCCGGAAGAGUGUACUCUGUUUACAAUUUGCAGUUUUUAAAGUCUGAUAAACAACCAAAAAAAAGUCAAUCCUGGGAGGGAGUAGCAAAGAGAGACACUUACAUGUACGGGCAUAUUCAUCAUUCAGUCGACUGUAUAACAAACACACACAUCAGGGUCAUUUAGGGUUCUUUAUCUUCCCUUAUCAUGAAACAGCAUGGAUUAUAUCCCAGAAUCCUGAAAAUAAAGCCUGUAAGUGGAAUUAAGCAGCUAUUCAUUUUAAUCUUUAUUCCUUUGAUUUAUCUGUUGUAACAUGUACAAAUGUCCACCUGUGCUUUGCUGUUUCAACAGACUCUGUGAAAUGUUCAAAUUAAAGCAGGCCUCUUAAGCUGUGUAUGUAAACGUA